rnacentral:rRNA from 1 species
UCCGUAGGUGAACCUGCGGAGGGAUCAUUACUGAGUUUACGCUCUACAACCCUUUGUGAACAUACCUAUAACUGUUGCUUCGGCGGGUAGGGUCUCCGUGACCCUCCCGGCCUCCCGCCCCCGGGCGGGUCGGCGCCCGCCGGAGGAUAACCAAACUCUGAUUUAACGACGUUUCUUCUGAGUGGUACAAGCAAAUAAUCAAAACUUUUAACAACGGAUCUCUUGGUUCUGGCAUCGAUGAAGAACGCAGCGAAAUGCGAUAAGUAAUGUGAAUUGCAGAAUUCAGUGAAUCAUCGAAUCUUUGAACGCACAUUGCGCCCGCCAGCAUUCUGGCGGGCAUGCCUGUUCGAGCGUCAUUUCAACCCUCAAGCUCUGCUUGGUGUUGGGGCCCUACAGCUGAUGUAGGCCCUCAAAGGUAGUGGCGGACCCUCCCGGAGCCUCCUUUGCGUAGUAACUUUACGUCUCGCACUGGGAUCCGGAGGGACUCUUGCCGUAAAACCCCCCAAUUUUCCAAAGGUUGACCUCGGAUCAGGUAGGAAUACCCGCUGAACUUAAGCAUAUCA